AUGAUUACUAAGGUAACAUCUAGUGAGCCUCAUGUGGAUACUAGCACUACUUCUAGUCAAAAUGCUAUAUUGCCAUGUGCUAGUCCUUGUAAUUCAUCUACUCACAAUGUUGGUACUUCUUGUGAUGAAUUCCUUUCCUUUCCUUGUUGCUCUAACGAUGAAGUUUAUACUUCCUCUAGCACUUGUGUUGAUACUAAUCAUGUAGAGGAAAUCAAAGAGCUCAAGGACGAAGUCACUUCUUUGAAGAAAGACUUGGAAAAGUGUCAUGAAGGGAAGUCCACACUCAACAAUAUCUUGAGUGUGCAAAAAUCCCCCAAUGACAAAGAUGGACUUGGAUUCAACUCCAAUAAGAAUAAGAAGUCCAAGAGAAACAAGAAGAAGGGCCAAGAACAACUCAAGAAUUCGGCCAAGAUUAUUUGCUUCAAGUGCAAAACUGAAGGGCAUCAUGUUAGAGCUUGCCCAUUGAAGAAGAAGGCCAUUAGUGACAAGCAACAAGGGAAGAGGCCACAAGUUCAAUCUCAUGCUCAACCUCAAGUUGAAGAAAGGCCAAUUCCCAGGAAGACUCAAGUUAAUGCUUCUCUUGUUGAGAAAUCAAGUGAGAAGAAAAUGAAGAGUAGACAUUGCUACUUAUGUCAUGAGAAAGGUCACGUCGCUUCUUCAUGCACUAGUGGUAACUUAUCCAACCCAAUUAUUAUUGAUGAUAUCGAUUCUCUUGGGAAUGAUAAGGUUGGGAAUGUGUUUGCCAAGUUUCUUGGUACCCAAAGUGGUUUCAAGCAAAGAACCAUUUGGGUUGCCAAGCCUAUUGUGUCUAACCUCUUAGGACCCAACUUGGUUGGUGAACAACAAGCUCAAACUUGA
rnacentral:rRNA from 1 species